AUCGAAAUUAAUUUAGUUCGCUCUAAGGUUGCAAUGGGUAACGGGGAAUCAGGGUUCGAUUCCGGAGAAGGAGCCUGAGAAACGGCUACUACAUCCAAGGAAGGCAACAGGCGCGCAAAUUACCCAAUCUAGACAGUAGGAGGUGGUGAAGAGAAUUACUAAGUGGUGGUUCAAUGAACUACCAACUUGGAAUGGACGUAACUUAAGCAAUUCGUUGAGAAACAACUGGAGGGCAAGUCCUGGUGCCAGCAGCCGCGGUAAUUCCAGCUCCAGUAGUUUGCUUUAAAGUUGUUGCGUUUAAAACGCUCGUAGUUGGAUCAUGCAACAGUGUACGGUAAUCUAUACACUCGGUGGGAAUAUUCUGAGUGUUCAUCGAAAGAUGGGGCUCGAAGUCCCGCCGAUGUUAGAUAUAAAAGCUGGACACUGUUAAUUGCACGUGAGAUGGAUUGUUGACCUUUGGUGCGUCGGUAAUCCUGUCUUGCGGAGUGUGCCUUGAAUAAAACAGAGUGCUUAAAGCAGGUUUACGCCUGAAUGUUAUAGCAUGGAACGAACAAUAGUGUAUUAGUGCAUGAUUUCGGGCAGCGAUCGAUCUAUGGUUUGUUGCUGUCGGGGAGGUGCACAUCACCCACCAAAAUAUGGCUGUUGGUUCCAUAUACGGUGAUGAUUAAAAGGAGCGGUUGGGGGCAUCGGUAUUUGGCCGCGAGAGGUGAAAUUCUUGGACCGGCCAAGGACUAACAAAUGCAAAGGCACCUGUCUAGACCGUAUCCAUUAAUCAAGAACGAAAGUGGGAGGUUCGAAGACGAUCAGAUACCGUCCUAGUUCCCACUGUAAACUAUGCCGACCUGGGAUCAGUUUAGAGAUGCUACAAGCUCUAAAUUGGUCCCCCUGGGAAACCUCAAGUUUUUCGGUUACGGGGAGAGUAUGGUCGCAAGGCUGAAACUUAAAGGAAUUGACGGAAGGGCACCACCAGGGGUGGAGCCUGCGGCUUAAUUUGACUCAACACGGGA
rnacentral:rRNA from 1 species